rnacentral:rRNA from 1 species
UACGUAGGGGGGCUAGCGUUGUCCGGAAUCAUUGGGCGUAAAGAGCGCGUAGGCGGCCAGACAAGUCCGGUGUGAAAGUCACAGGCUCAACCUGUGAAUGCCGCUGGAAACUGUCUGGCUAGAGUCCGGAAGGGGCGAGUGGAAGUUCCUGGUGUAGCGGUGAAAUGCGUAGAUAUUGGGAGGAACACCAGUGGCGAAGGCGGCUCACUGGACCGGUACUGACGCUGAGUGCGCGAAAGCGUGGGGAGCAAACAGG